AAUGAACGUUGGCGGCGUGGAUUAGGCAUGCGAGUCGCGCGAGAAUCGUAGCAAUACGAGGAAAGCGGCGAAAGGGAGAGGAAUACGUAGAAAUCUGCCCUCGGGACUGGGAUAGCGGCGGGAAACUGCCGGUAAUACCAGAUAACGUCUUCGGACCAAAGGUGUGAUUCCGCCUGAGGAUGAGUCUACGACCUAUUAGCUUGUUGGCGGGGUAAUGGCCCACCAAGGCGACGAUGGGUAGCAGGUGUGAGAGCACGACCUGCCUCAUUGGGACUGAGACACUGCCCAGACACCUACGGGUGGCUGCAGUCGAGAAUCUUCGGCAAUGGACGAAAGUCUGACCGAGCGACGCCGCGUGCGGGAUGAAGGCCUUCGGGUUGUAAACCGCUGUCGUAGGGAACCAAAUUCACGGGGGUUCUCCCCUGUGAUUGAGAGAACCUAGGAGGAAGGAGAGGCUAAGCUCGUGCCAGCAGCCGCAGUAA
rnacentral:rRNA from 1 species